CGUACUUUGCUUCUUCCUGCUGAAGAGGUUUACAACCCGAAGGCCGUCAUCCCUCACGCGGCGUCGCUGCAUCAGGCUUUCGCCCAUUGUGCAAUAUUCCCCACUGCUGCCUCCCGUAGGAGUCUGGGCCGUGUCUCAGUCCCAGUGUGGCCGGUCGCCCUCUCAGGCCGGCUACCCGUCGUCGCCUUGGUAGGCCAUUACCCCACCAACAAGCUGAUAGGCCGCGGGCUCAUCCUUCACCGCCGGAGCUUUUAACCCCGCCCCAUGAGGGACAGAGUGUUAUCCGGUAUUAGACCCCGUUUCCAGGGCUUGUCCCAGAGUGAAGGGCAGAUUGCCCACGUGUUACUCACCCGUUCGCCACUAAUCCACCCCGAAGGGCUUCAUCGUUCGACUUGCAUGUGUUAAGCACGCCGCCAGCGUUCGUCCUGAGCCAGGAUCAAACUCUA
rnacentral:rRNA from 1 species